GACGAACGCUGGCGGCGCGCCUAACACAUGCAAGUCGAACGAGCGAGAGAGAGCUUGCUUUCUCGAGCGAGUGGCGAACGGGUGAGUAACGCGUGAGGAACCUGCCUCAAAGAGGGGGACAACAGUUGGAAACGACUGCUAAUACCGCAUAAGCCCACGGGUCGGCAUCGACCAGAGGGAAAAGGAGCAAUCCGCUUUGAGAUGGCCUCGCGUCCGAUUAGCUAGUUGGUGAGGUAAUGGCCCACCAAGGCGACGAUCGGUAGCCGGACUGAGAGGUUGAACGGCCACAUUGGGACUGAGACACGGCCCAGACUCCUACGGGAGGCAGCAGUGGGGAAUAUUGCACAAUGGGGGAAACCCUGAUGCAGCGACGCCGCGUGGAGGAAGAAGGUCUUCGGAUUGUAAACUCCUGUUGUUGGGGAAGAUAAUGACGGUACCCAACAAGGAAGUGACGGCUAACUACGUGCCAGCAGCCGCGGUAAAACGUAGGUCACAAGCGUUGUCCGGAAUUACUGGGUGUAAAGGGAGCGCAGGCGGGAAGACAAGUUGGAAGUGAAAUCUAUGGGCUCAACCCAUAAACUGCUUUCAAAACUGUUUUUCUUGAGUAGUGCAGAGGUAGGCGGAAUUCCCGGUGUAGCGGUGGAAUGCGUAGAUAUCGGGAGGAACACCAGUGGCGAAGGCGGCCUACUGGGCACCAACUGACGCUGAGGCUCGAAAGUGUGGGUAGCAAACAGGAUUAGAUACCCUGGUAGUCCACACCGUAAACGAUGAUUACUAGGUGUUGGAGGAUUGACCCCUUCAGUGCCGCAGUCAACACAAUAAGUAAUCCACCUGGGGAGUACGACCGCAAGGUUGAAACUCAAAGGAAUUGACGGGGGCCCGCACAAGCAGUGGAGUAUGUGGUUUAAUUCGACGCAACGCGAAGAACCUUACCAAGUCUUGACAUCCCUUGACAGACAUAGAAAUAUGUAUUCUCUUCGGAGCAAGGAGACAGGUGGUGCAUGGUUGUCGUCAGCUCGUGUCGUGAGAUGUUGGGUUAAGUCCCGCAACGAGCGCAACCCUUAUGGUCAGUUACUACGCAAGAGGACUCUGGCCAGACUGCCGUUGACAAAACGGAGGAAGGUGGGGAUGACGUCAAAUCAUCAUGCCCUUUAUGACUUGGGCUACACACGUACUACAAUGGCGUUAAACAAAGAGAAGCAAGACCGCGAGGUGGAGCAAAACUCAGAAACAACGUCCCAGUUCGGACUGCAGGCUGCAACUCGCCUGCACGAAGUCGGAAUUGCUAGUAAUCGUGGAUCAGCAUGCCACGGUGAAUACGUUCCCGGGCCU
rnacentral:rRNA from 1 species